UACGGGGGGGGCAAGCGUUGUUCGGAAUUAUUGGGCGUAAAGCGCGCGCAGGCGGUCCUUUAAGUCUGAUGUGAAAGCCCACGGCUCAACCGUGGAGGGUCAUUGGAAACUGGGGGACUUGAGUACAGAAGAGAAGAGUGGAAUUCCACGUGUAGCGGUGAAAUGCGUAGAGAUGUGGAGGAACACCAGUGGCGAAGGCGACUCUGUGGUCUGUAACUGACGCUGAGGCGCGAAAGCGUGGGGAGCAAACAGG
rnacentral:rRNA from 1 species